UCAGAAGCAAGGUUGGAGAUGGAGAAGACUUGAGAGUUAGCUGGUGAGAGUCAAAACAUAGCCUGGGGUUGGAGCUAGGGUAAUGGGAACGUUUAUGCCUCCUUUUUUAGUCCUAGUACCUUGCUCUGGACUGGGCACACAUACCCAGUCCAGAGAGGAAGGGACGCAUCUGUGAAUAUAUUGGGUACAAGAAGCUGUGAAAACCCUGGAGAUGCAGCAGAUGUGUCUCACUCUGGAGAAAUAACCAUCUGAAGGCCUGGGUGCCUCAGGGCAGCCACCCGACAACACUCCCCAGGGCCAGCAGCCAGGCCGAGGUUCACCUUGACUCCUGGAGCCGCAGCGCACGCAGCAAGCAGGUACCUGCUUCUGCACCUGUCUCCUACACCUGCCCUGCAGCUGCUCCUAUCCACCUCUCCCGGCUGAGUCUGGCCAGCGCGACACCCUGGAGACACCCUCUCCUCCUCCAGUCUCACCUGCCUGGUCAGCUCCUACACUCAACUCCUCUAGGGAAAGUCGCGCCUCCAGCCCAGAGCAGUCCGGAUUACAGAAAGCUCCGCCUUGGGUUUAGGAACCGCCAUGACUGAGGUUGGUUGGUGGAAGCUGACCUUCCUCCGGAAAAAAAAAUCCACUCCCAAAGUGCUCUACGAAAUCCCCGACACCUAUGCUCAAACAGAGGGAGGUGCAGAGCCCCCAGGACCUGAUGCAGGAGAUCCUCACAGCGACUUUAACAGCCGCCUGGAGAAGAUUGUGGACAAGAACACCAAAGGCAAGCAUGUCAAAGUCUCCAACUCAGGCCGCUUCAAAGAGAAGAAAAGAGUCCGGGCCAUGUUGGCAGAGAACCCCACCCUCUUUGAUGACAGGGAGAACAAAGGACAAUGAAGGCUGCGGAAGAGGACAAUAGUGCCGCCCUGCUCCCUGCCACUGGUGGGGUCUGAGGCAGGAGCUUGCCACGCUGGCCUUUUUGGUCACAGCCACGGUGGCGGUUGAUCCCUGCUGGCAGGAACACCCGGUUCUUAGGUUUGUAUUUGUGUGCCCCAGUUUUAUGAAGCGCCUCCUCCUCAUGAUCACAUACAAAGGCACUCUGGGCCAGCAUGAAAAUCGUGACCUAGAAGUACUGCUUUCCUUGACACAGUGGCUUGGCUCACAGGGAGGUGGCAUGGCAGAGAAUAGGCAGAGAACAUGGUGGACUCCACCCAUUCUUUCCCUGGGCCAGGGGGUCAGGGGUGAAUUUGAAUCACUACUCCCUCUACUUUCACAUCCGGUGACUGUUCCCUGGGCCAAUCCAAGGAGAGCAGAGUUUCCGGAAGUCACGUGACCUUGGUUUCCUUGGCGCCAGAGGCAGAGUUGUUAAACUUGCGAUCACCUCUUAACUCAAGGAGCAAACUUCCUGGAACUUUGCUCCCAAGAGUGGAGGGGCGAAGGACACGGGCACUCCCUGGGGCGCUACUGAAGGCCAGACCAGAAAUCCUCCUGAGUUCUUACCUUGACUACCACUUGUGUGGGUGCUGAAUUACAUACCCCCAAACUGAGGCCUCACUGGCCAGCCCAAGGGUCCAAACGGGAGGAGUGGAUGGGUUUCCCCACUCCUUCCCUGAUAGUAUUUAAGAUAGAUGAUCUCCAGGACUGAAUCCCGGAGCCUUGGAUUUUGUUGGAAUAGUAGGUUUAUUAGGAAUAAACAAGGCUGCAGAACCCA